rnacentral:rRNA from 1 species
AGUGAACGCUGGCGGUAGGCCUAACACAUGCAAGUCGAACGGCAGCACCGUAAGAGCUUGCUCUUAUGGGUGGCGAGUGGCGGACGGGUGAGGAAUACAUCGGAAUCUACUUUUUCGUGGGGGAUAACGUAGGGAAACUUACGCUAAUACCGCAUACGACCUACGGGUGAAAGCAGGGGAUCUUCGGACCUUUCGCGAUUGAAUGAGCCGCUGUCGGGUUAGCUAGUUGGCGGGGUAAAGGCCCACCAAGGCGACGAUCCGUAGCUGGUCUGAGUGGAUGAUCAGCCACACUGGAACUGAGACACGGUCCAGACUCCUACGGGAGGCAGCAGUGGGGAAUAUUGGGCAAUGGGCGCAAGCCUUAUCCAGCCAUACCGCGUGUGUGAAGAAGGCCUUCGGGUUGUAAAGCCCUUUUGUUGGGAAAGAAAAGCAGCAGGUUAAUACCCCGCUGUUCUGACGGUACCCAAAGAAUAAGCACCGGCUAACUUCGUG